AGAGCCUCUGGGCGCUGGGCUCGGGCGUCCGCGGGCCGCUGAGGGGCCGCUCGGGGUGCAGGAAAAGGCCGCCGGGCCUGGCCGGCCGCGCUCGAGGUGUCCGGCCGCGGGCCUGAGGGAGGAGGAGGGGCCGUGGCCGGCGACGGGGCCCGGAAGCGGUUCUGGAGGCGCAGCAACGGCGAAGUCCCGGGCAGCAUCCAGCAUGUGUACGGCGCCCAGCACCCCCCCUUCGACCCACUGUUACACGGCACCUUGCUCAAGGGCGCACCCAAGGCGCCCGCCACACCCGUGAAGGCCAAGAGCAUCAGCACCUUCCCGGAGUUUGAGAGCAACACCAGCGACGCCUGGGAUGCCGGCGAGGACGAUGACGGGCUCCUGGCCGUGGCAGCCGAGAGCCUGAACACCGACGUGGUCAUGGAGACGGCCCACCGCGUCCUGCGCAACCACAGCCAGCGGCAGGAGCGCCGCAAGCCGCAGGAGGCGCCGGGCCCCGAGCAGGAGCCACAGCCUUCGGCAGAGCCUCCUUCGGUCCCGAGCGGUGACCUCGGCUGGUGAAGUCCGUCAGCGAGAGCCACACAUCCUGUCCUGCAGACAGCGCCGGCGACACUGCUCCUCUGCAGUGGUCCCAGUCUCUCCCGCACUCGGUGGCAGCCGCCGUGGGUGGCACGUCUGACCCCAGCGCCCUCAGCAGCUCAGCGUUAAGUGAACGAGAGGCCUCCCGGCUCGACAAGUUCAAGCAGCUCCUUGCCGGCCUGAACACAGACCUCGGUGAGUCCCCCGCUGGCGGAGGGCACGUGCACCUGCGCCCCCACGUGUGGUUUACUUUGUCAGAGGGCGAUGUGUUUGUGCCGUCCUGCGCGAGUCACAGAGAUGAGCCGUUUGUCCUUGAGGUUUACUUCAGCUGUGUGUUGGUCAUGGGCUUCCGGGGCCAUUGAUCCGGUAUUUUCUGUUCUGUUCUAUUUUUUAAUGCUCCGAUUGAACUCCUUUGGCUUCUUGGGGCUGAACUGGUUUGCUCCACAGGACUGGCCAGCUUGGUGUCCCUGCUUUUCAGAGUCUUCGUGGGGACACAGAGCUGGUGACCGGGGUCCUGAGUGCUGCUGACUUUACACCUUCCUUGGUGUAAAGU